rnacentral:tRNA from 1 species
GGGUAACUCAGUGGUAGAGCACGUGCUUAGCAUGCACAAGGUCCUGGGUUCAAUCCCCAGUACCUG